rnacentral:rRNA from 2 species
CGGGCGACGCGCCGGUCUAAGUCCCUUGGAACGGGGCGUCAUAGAGGGUGAGAAUCCCGUAUGUGACCGGGGACCGAGCCCAUGUGAAACUCCUUCGACGAGUCGAGUUGUUUGGGAAUGCAGCUCAAAAUGGGUGGUAAAUUUCAUCUAAAGCUAAAUACCGGCCAGAGACCGAUAGCGCACAAGUAGAGUGAUCGAAAGAUGAAAAGCACUUUGGAAAGAGAGUCAAACAGUACGUGAAAUUGUUGAAAGGGAAGCGCUUGCAACCAGACCUGCCCGCGGGCGAUCAGCCGUCCUUCUGGGCGGUGCACUCGCCCGUGAUCAGGCCAGCAUCGGUUCGGGCGGCCGGAGAAAGGCCUUGGGAACGUAGCUCCUCUCGGGAAGUGUUAUAGCCCUCGGCGCAAUGCGGCCAGCCCGGACCGAGGACCGCGCUUCGGCUAGGAUGCUGGCGUAAUGGUUGUAAGCGGCCCGUCUUGAAACACGGACCAAGGAGUCUAACAUCUAUGCGAGUGUUUGGGUGUCAAACCCAUACGCGUAAUGAAAGUGAACGGAGGUGGGAACCCCUCGGGGCGCACCAUCGACCGAUCCAGAUGUCUUCGGAUGGAUUUGAGUACGAGCAUAGCUGUUGGGACCCGAAAGAUGGUGAACUAUGCCUGAAUAGGGUGAAGCCAGAGGAAACUCUGGUGGAGGCUCGCAGCGGUUCUGACGUGCAAAUCGAUCGUCAAAUUUGGGCAUAGGGGC